rnacentral:tRNA from 1 species
GGGUAGGUAUGCAAGUGGUUAAAGCAAGCGGUCUGUAAAACCGUCGGCGUAAAGCCUUCGUAGGUUCGAAUCCUACCCUGCCCA